UAAGACAGAGGUCCCGAGCGUUAGGCGGAAUCACUGGGCUUAAAGCGUGUGUAGGCGGACUUCUAAGUACCUUGUGAAAUCCCACGGCUUAACCGUGGAACUGCUUGGUAUACUGGUUGUCUUGGGCCAGCUAGGGGCUACCGGAACAAACGGUGGAGCGGUGAAAUGCGUAGAUAUCGUUUGGAACGCCAAUGGUGAAAACAGGUAGCUGGGGCUGUGCCGACGCUGAGACACGAAAGCCAGGGGAGCGAACGGGAUUAGAUACCCCGGUAGUCCUGGCUGUAAACGAUGUCGACUAGAUCGUAGUGGCUCUGACGCUAUUACGGUCGAAGCAAAAGUGCUAAGUCGACCGCCUGGGAAGUACGGUCGCAAGGCUA
rnacentral:rRNA from 1 species